UUUAAGGUCUAACCUGCCCAAUGAGGAUUUAAAUGGCCGCAGUAUUUUGACUGUGCAAAGGUAGCAUAAUUAUUAGUUUUUUAAUUGAAAGCUUGUAUGAAGGGUUGGACGAGAUGAAAUCUGUCUUUAUUUAAAUUAAAAUAUAAUUUAACUUUUAAGUAAAAAGGCUUAAAUGUUUAUAAAAGACGAGAAGACCCUAUAGAUCUUUAUUUAAUUAAAAUUUUAAUAAUUUAGGAUUAUUUUAAUUUAAAGUUUUAAUUAAAUUUUAUUGGGGUAAUAUAAAGAUUAAAUAAAUUCUUUUUAUUUAUAACAUUGAUUUAUGAAUAUAUGAUCCAUUAAUAUUGAUUAUAAGAUUAAGUUACCUUAGGGAUAACAGCGUAAUUUUUUUGGAGAGCUCAUAUCGAUAAAAAAGUUUGCGACCUCGAUGUUGGAUUAAAAAUUAGCUUGGGUGCAGAAGCUCAAGAUUUUGGUCUGUUCGACCAUUAAAUUUUUACAUGAUCUGAGUUCAGACCGGCGUGAGCCAGGUCGGUUUCUAUCUUUAUUAAGAUAAAAUGUUUUAGUACGAAAGGACCAAAUAUUUAAUAUAAUUAUAUUUAAUUUUUGAAGAAUAUU
rnacentral:rRNA from 1 species